AUUGAACGCUGGCGGCAGGCCUAACACAUGCAAGUCGAACGGUAACAGGAAGCAGCUUGCUGCUUCGCUGACGAGUGGCGGACGGGUGAGUAAUGUCUGGGAAACUGCCUGAUGGAGGGGGAUAACUACUGGAAACGGUAGCUAAUACCGCAUAACGUCGCAAGACCAAAGAGGGGGACCUUAGGGCCUCUUGCCAUCGGAUGUGCCCAGAUGGGAUUAGCUAGUAGGUGGGGUAACGGCUCACCUAGGCGACGAUCCCUAGCUGGUCUGAGAGGAUGACCAGCCACACUGGAACUGAGACACGGUCCAGACUCCUACGGGAGGCAGCAGUGGGGAAUAUUGCACAAUGGGCGCAAGCCUGACGCAGCCAUGCCGCGUGUAUGAAGAAGGCCUUCGGGUUGUAAAGUACUUUCAGCGGGGAGGAAGGGAGUAAAGUUAAUACCUUUGCUCAUUGACGUUACCCGCAGAAGAAGCACCGGCUAACUCCGUG
rnacentral:rRNA from 1 species